rnacentral:misc_RNA from 1 species
GAUGAAGAACGUAGCGAAAUGCGAUAAGUAAUGUGAAUUGCAGAAUUCAGUGAAUCAUCGAAUCUUUGAACGCACCUUGCGCCCCUUGGUUAUUCCAAACGGCAUGCCUGUUUGAGUAUCAUGAACACCUCAACUCUUGUGGUUUCCCACAAUGAGCUUGGACUGUGGAGGUUUUGUUGGCCCUGUGGUCAGCUCCUCUCAAAUGGAUCAGCUUACCGGUGUUUGGUGGCAUUACGGGUGUGAUAACUAUCUACGCUCGUGGUCGUCUCCAAAUAACCUCCAGUGAUGGAGGUUCGCUGGAGCUUAUAAAUGUCUCUCCCCAGUGAAGACAGCCUUUGAACGUUCGAUCUCAAAUCAGGUAGGACUACCCGCUGAACUUAAGCAUAUCAAUAAGCGGAGGA